GCGAAAACAAAGAGCUCAUUCAUUACUGGGUUUCAAUUUUUCUUUACGUUAUUGAUGUAUUAGAACAUCCCAAUUAACUUGAGCAUGAAAGCAUGAAUUUUUAUGCUUUGCAACCUAUCUGGAGGAUUCUGCAAGCAUGCAGGCCUGGCCGUAACAUUUGAGAAAUAUCCUUUUUCAGGGACUGGACAAUUGGACAAUUGUGAAUUGCAAAUCGUGAUUGUUCGUAUUACAAGAUCAAUAAAGGAGCUAGCAGAAUUUAUCACAGUUUCUAUCUAAAUACAAAGCAAAUCCUUGAUGGGAAUUGAAUUUUAUUUAUUUUUCUGUAUGCACGAUUAAGUAAAUUUUCAACAAGAACCUGUCUUAAAUUUGAUACUUGUGGUUUUUGCUGUAUAUAGGAAUCGUACUAAUGGAUCACAGCGUACUAAGCUUAAAAACUAGAAGUUACUUUUAAGUAACUUGUUUGUCUAUAGGUAAGCUUAGCCAAAUGUGCUUUUUACUGCCUUCUU